rfam:Schistosoma margrebowiei strain Zambia genome assembly, scaffold: SMRZ_scaffold0000297
AUCCAGCUGACGAGUCCCAAGAAGGAUAAAAUGCGCGUCUUGGAU